rnacentral:rRNA from 1 species
UGCGUAGGUGGUUUCUUAAGUCAGAGGUGAAAGGCUACGGCUCAACCGUAGUAAGCCUUUGAAACUGGGAAACUUGAGUGCAGGAGAGGAGAGUGGAAUUCCUAGUGUAGCGGUGAAAUGCGUAGAUAUUAGGAGGAACACCAGUUGCGAAGGCGGCUCUCUGGACUGUAACUGACACUGAGGUGCGAAAGCGUGGGGAAGCAAACA